rnacentral:rRNA from 1 species
AAUAGAUACCCGGGUAGUCCACGCCGUAAACGAUGAGUACUAGCUCUUGGGGGUAUUGACUCCCUCAGGGACGAAGCUAGCGCAUUAAGUACUCCGCCUGGGAAGUACGGUCGCAAGACUAAAACUCAAAGAAAUUGACGGGGGCCCGCACAAGCGGUGGAUUAUGUGGUUUAAUUCGAAGCAACGCGCAGAACCUUACCUAGCCUUGAAAUCCGACGAAUCCGAUGUAAUGGUUGGAGUGCCCGCAAGGGAAUGUCGAGACAGGUGCUGCAUGGCUGUCGUCAGCUCGUGUUGUGAAAUGUUGGGUUAAGUCUCGCAACGAGCGCAACCCCUAUCUUUAGUUGCCAGCAUUAAGUUGGGCACUCUAGAGAGACUGCCUGGGUUAACCAGGAGGAAGGUGGGGAUGACGUCAAGUCCUCAUGGCCCUUAUGGCUAGGGCUACACACGUAAUACAAUGGCGCACACAAAGGGAAGCAACCUCGCGAGAGUUAGCUAAUCUCAAAAAGUGCGUCUCAGUCCGGAUUGGAGU